UCUUUGAACGCAAGUUGCGCCCGAAACCAUUAGGCCGAGGGCACGUCUGCCUGGGCGUCACGCAUCACGUCGCCCCCCGCACUCCGCGCCCAGAAUCAUGGACGCGGUGGUGUCGCGGGGCGGAUACUGGCCUCCCGUGCGCCCCGAGCGCGCGGUUGGCC
rnacentral:rRNA from 1 species